rnacentral:rRNA from 1 species
UACGAAGGGGGCUAGCGUUGCUCGGAAUCACUGGGCGUAAAGGGCGCGUAGGCGGCCAUUCAAGUCGGAGGUGAAAGCCCAGGGCUCAACCCUGGAAUUGCCUUCGAUACUGUCUGGCUAGAGACCGGAAGGGGUAAGUGGAACUGCGAGUGUAGAGGUGAAAUUCGUAGAUAUUCGCAAGAACACCAGUGGCGAAGGCGGCUUACUGGUCCGGUUCUGACGCUGAGGCGCGAAAGCGUGGGAGCAAACAGA